rnacentral:rRNA from 1 species
UACGUAGGGUGCGAGCGUUAAUCGGAAUUACUGGGCGUAAAGCGUGCGCAGGCGGCGCGUUAAGACAGGUGUGAAAGCCCCGAGCUUAACUUGGGAAUUGCGCUUGUGACUGGCGUGCUGGAGUGUGGCAGAGGGAGGUGGAAUUCCACGUGUAGCAGUGAAAUGCGCAGAUAUCAGGAAGAACACCAAUGGCGAAAGCAGCUCUCUGGGACGGUACUGACGCUGAGACGCGAAAGCGUGGGGAGCGAACAGG